AGUUGAUGACCGGUGUUCGUACUCUCCUCCCGUAUCGAACGUCAUCAGCUGUUCCCCUCUGGAGGUUAUUCCUUCAAAGCUAAGGGCCGUGGAUCACAAGGCCCAUUUUU
rnacentral:sRNA from 1 species